rnacentral:rRNA from 1 species
AUACGGAGGGGGCUAGCGUUGUUCGGAAUUACUGGGCGUAAAGCGCUCGUAGGCGGUUUGUUAAGUCGGAUGUGAAAGCCCCGGGCUCAACCUGGGAACUGCAUUCGAUACUGGCAGACUAGAGUAUAGUAGAGGCAAGUGGAAUUCCGGGUGUAGCGGUGAAAUGCGUAGAUAUCCGGAGGAACAUCAGUGGCGAAGGCGACUUGCUGGACUAAUACUGACGCUGAGGAGCGAAAGCGUGGGGAGCAAACGGGAUUAGAUACCCCGGUAGUCC